AUUAUUUGUGCUCUUUUAGAUCAUAUUUCAAACAAGGUUGUUCAUCAUUGAAGUUUAGCUUUAAGUGCUGAAGUAAAAGGAAAAGUUUGCUAAUGCAGAUUGAUUCAUCAAUAUUAUCCAAGUCUUGCUAACAAUACUUGUGAUUGGCAAUAAGGCUGCCACAGAAGUAUUCAUGAACAGUUGACCUAGGGAAUGAAAACCGAACUUAAAACAGAAGCUCUUCAUAAUCUCAUGGAAAUAGGAAGUGCAAUAUACUUUAUGGGCCGUCUGGAUAUUGUAUUGGGAGAGUGACACAACACAAUUCAUUCAGACGUCACCAUGGUUAGGGUUUAUUUUUGGAAGUGACGGACAAACGAAACAAGUUCAUGGAGCUGAAGGGAGUCCUAUAGUUCAUUGACUUCGAACUGCAACUGCUAAAAUUGUAUCCAACCCUACAUGCCCAAAUCCAUCAUCCUUUCUCACCGUGUCAAAACAAGCAGAGGUUGCUGCUUAUGUACGUGUGAAAAAAAUAUCAUCAUUGGUGUUGGCAGGCUAAACGUUCGAUGCAAGCUUAUUGUUCACAUCUUCUUGAGCAUAGAGUUUGUGGUUUAAACUUGAAUCAUUAAG